rnacentral:rRNA from 1 species
GACGAACGCUGGCGGCGCGCUUAACACAUGCAAGUCGAACGGAAAGGCCUGCUUUCCCUUGUGGAUUGCGGGUACUCGAGUGGCGAACGGGUGAGUAACACGUGAGUGAUCUGCCCCCAACUUGGGUAUAAGCCUGGGAAACUGGGUCUAAUUCCCGAUAGGACUGCAGGGUGGUGCCUGUGGUGGAAAACGAUUUUCUAGUGGUUGGGGAUGUGCUCGCGGCCUAUCAGCUUGUUGGUGGGGUAAUGGCCUACCAAGGCGGCGACGGGUAGCCGGCCUGAGAGGGUGGACGGCCACAUUGGGACUGAGAUACGGCCCAGACUCCUACGGGAGGCAGCAGUGGGGAAUAUUGCACAAUGGGCGGAAGCCUGAUGCAGCGACGCCGCGUGGGGGAUGACGGCCUUCGGGUUGUAAACUCCUUUCGACCGCGAGGAAGCCACCUGGUUGGAAGGGUGGUGACGGUAGUGGUAGAAGAAGCACCGGCUAACUACGUG